rnacentral:rRNA from 1 species
UACGAAGGUGGCAAGCGUUGUUCGGAUUUACUGGGCGUACAGGGAGCGUAGGCGGUUGGGUAAGCCCUCCGUGAAAUCUUCGGGCCUAACCCGGAAAGUGCGGAGGGGACUGCUCGGCUAGAGGAUGGGAGAGGAGCGCGGAAUUCCCGGUGUAGCGGUGAAAUGCGUAGAGAUCGGGAGGAAGGCCGGUGGCGAAGGCGGCGCUCUGGAACAUUUCUGACGCUGAGGCUCGAAAGCGUGGGGAGCGAACAGG